rnacentral:rRNA from 1 species
ACAGCCAUAGUUUAUUGGAUGUUUACGUUCCUACAUGGACACCUGCGGUAAUUCUGGAGCUAAUACAUGCACAAGCCGACGACCUUACGGAAGUCGCGCAUUUGUUAGAUCAAACCAAUCGGUCCUCCGGGACCGUAAUUUGAUGACUCUGAACAACUUAGCUGACCGCACAGUCUCGUACUGGCGGCAUAUCUUUCAAGUGUCUGCCUUAUCAACUUUCGUUGGUAGUUUAUACGACUACCAAGGUUGUAACGGGUAACGGAGAAUAAGGGUUCGACUCCGGAGAGGGAGCCUGAGAAACGGCUACCACAUCCAAGGAAGGCAGCAGGCGCGCAAAUUACCCACUCGCAGAACGCGGAGGUAGUGACGAAAAAUAACGAGGUGGCUCUCUAUGAGGUCCAUCAUCGGAAUGGGUACAAUUUAAAUCCUUUAACGAGGAUCUAUUGGAGGGCAAGUCUGGUGCCAGCAGCCGCGGUAAUUCCAGCUCCAAUAGCGUAUACUAAAGUUGUUGCGGUUAAAAAGCUCGUAGUUGGAUCUGCGCUCUGUGAGAGCGGUCGCUCGCUGAGUUGUACUGUCUCUCACGGGCUAACCAUUCGGUUUUCCCUUGAUGCUCUUCAUUGAGUGUCCUGGGUGACCGAAACGUUUACUUUGAAAAAAUUAGAGUGCUCAAAGCAGGCGAUUUGCCCGAAUAUUCGUGCAUGGAAUAAUAAAAGAGGUCCUUGUAGCCUUUUAUUGGUUAUCGCUACGAGGAAAUGAUCGAAGGGGACAGACGGGGGCAUUUGUAUUGCGACGUUAGAGGUGAAAUUCUUGGAUCGUCGCAAGACAAACUACUGCGAAAGCAUUUGCCAAGAAUGUUUUCAUCAAUCAAGAACGAAAGUCUGAGGUUC